CAUUUAUCUGGAAGGAGAAAUCCAAGUAGGUCAGGUUGUCAUGAACGCCAUGGCCCUUCAGCCUGAAUGAGAAACAGGAGAGCCCUGCUCCUCAGAAGAGGAUAUUGAUCCAUCUUUGAUCAUGUACUUCGUUUGUGGCACAAACUGAAAGCCAUAGCUUCCCAUAUCCCAUAGUGCCUUUGUUCAUCUCUACAUUUUAAAGACGUUUUCCUGAGGAUCAGCUUGGGAAAGCCUGAACCUUUUCAUCAGUUAUAGUCUCAAUGGAAAUGGAACAGCCAGCCAGUCUCCAGAAACAGGAAGAUCUCUGUGUCUACAUGGAUUUGGUUUCUCUGUGAAGCCCUGGCUGUCCUGGAACUCACUCCGAGU